AUUGAACGCUGGCGGCAUGCUUUACACAUGCAAGUCGAACGGUAACAGGUGAAGCUGACGAGUCGCGAACGGGAGAGUAAUGCAUCGUAACGUGCCCGAUCGGGGGGGAUAACGCAGCGAACGCUGCGGUAUUACAGCAUAAGAUCGGAGGAUGAAAGCGAGGGACCGUAAGGCCGCGCGCUAUCGGAGCGGCAGAGGGCAGAUUAGGUAGUUGGUGGGGUAAAGGCCCAGCAAGCCGACGAUGUGUAGCUGGGCUGAGAGGGCGACCAGCCACACUGGGACUGAGACACGGCCCAGACUCCUACGGGAGGCAGCAGUGGGGAAUUUUGGACAAUGGGCGAAAGCCUGAUCCAGCAAUGCCGCGUGAAGGAAGAAGGCCUUCGGGUUGUAAACUGCUUUUGUACGGAGCGAAAAGGUCCUUUCUAAUACGAUGGGCUCAUGACGGUACCGUAAGAAUAAGCACCGGCUAACUACGUGCCAGCCGCCGCAGUAA
rnacentral:rRNA from 1 species